rnacentral:rRNA from 1 species
CCUUUUGUAUAAUGGGUCAGCGACUUAUAUUCUGUAGCAAGGUUAACCGAAUAGGGGAGCCGAAGGGAAACCGAGUCUUAACUGGGCGUUAAGUUGCAGGGUAUAGACCCGAAACCCGGUGAUCUAGCCAUGGGCAGGUUGAAGGUUGGGUAACACUAACUGGAGGACCGAACCGACUAAUGUUGAAAAAUUAGCGGAUGACUUGUGGCUGGGGGUGAAAGGCCAAUCAAACCGGGAGAUAGCUGGUUCUCCCCGAAAGCUAUUUAGGUAGCGCCUCGUGAAUUCAUCUCCGGGGGUAGAGCACUGUUUCGGCAAGGGGGUCAUCCCGACUUACCAACCCGAUGCAAACUGCGAAUACCGGAGAAUGUUAUCACGGGAGACACACGGCGGGUGCUAACGUCCGUCGUGAAGAGGGAAACAACCCAGACCGCCAGCUAAGGUCCCAAAGUCAUGGUUAAGUGGGAAACGAUGUGGGAAGGCCCAGACAGCCAGGAUGUUGGCUUAGAAGCAGCCAUCAUUUAAAGAAAGCGUAAUAGCUCACUGGUCGAGUCGGCCUGCGCGGAAGAUGUAACGGGGCUAAACCAUGCACCGAAGCUGCGGCAGCGACGCUUAUGCGUUGUUGGGUAGGGGAGCGUUCUGUAAGCCUGUGAAGGUGUACUGUGAGGUAUGCUGGAGGUAUCAGAAGUGCGAAUGCUGACAUAAGUAACGAUAAAGCGGGUGAAAAGCCCGCUCGCCGGAAGACCAAGGGUUCCUGUCCAACGUUAAUCGGGGCAGGGUGAGUCGACCCCUAAGGCGAGGCCGAAAGGCGUAGUCGAUGGGAAACAGGUUAAUAUUCCUGUACUUGGUGUUACUGCGAAGGGGGGACGGAGAAGGCUAUGUUGGCCGGGCGACGGUUGUCCCGGUUUAAGCGUGUAGGCUGGUUUUCCAGGCAAAUCCGGAAAAUCAAGGCUGAGGCGUGAUGACGAGGCACUACGGUGCUGAAGCAACAAAUGCCCUGCUUCCAGGAAAAGCCUCUAAGCAUCAGGUAACAUCAAAUCGUACCCCAAACCGACACAGGUGGUCAGGUAGAGAAUACCAAGGCGCUUGAGAGAACUCGGGUGAAGGAACUAGGCAAAAUGGUGCCGUAACUUCGGGAGAAGGCACGCUGAUAUGUAGGUGAAGUCCCUCGCGGAUGGAGCUGAAAUCAGUCGAAGAUACCAGCUGGCUGCAACUGUUUAUUAAAAACACAGCACUGUGCAAACACGAAAGUGGACGUAUACGGUGUGACGCCUGCCCGGUGCCGGAAGGUUAAUUGAUGGGGUUAGCGCAAGCGAAGCUCUUGAUCGAAGCCCCGGUAAACGGCGGCCGUAACUAUAACGGUCCUAAGGUAGCGAAAUUCCUUGUCGGGUAAGUUCCGACCUGCACGAAUGGCGUAAUGAUGGCCAGGCUGUCUCCACCCGAGACUCAGUGAAAUUGAACUCGCUGUGAAGAUGCAGUGUACCCGCGGCAAGACGGAAAGACCCCGUGAACCUUUACUAUAGCUUGACACUGAACAUUGAGCCUUGAUGUGUAGGAUAGGUGGGAGGCUUUGAAGUGUGGACGCCAGUCUGCAUGGAGCCGACCUUGAAAUACCACCCUUUAAUGUUUGAUGUUCUAACGUUGACCCGUAAUCCGGGUUGCGGACAGUGUCUGGUGGGUAGUUUGACUGGGGCGGUCUCCUCCUAAAGAGUAACGGAGGAGCACGAAGGUUGGCUAAUCCUGGUCGGACAUCAGGAGGUUAGUGCAAUGGCAUAAGCCAGCUUGACUGCGAGCGUGACGGCGCGAGCAGGUGCGAAAGCAGGUCAUAGUGAUCCGGUGGUUCUGAAUGGAAGGGCCAUCGCUCAACGGAUAAAAGGUACUCCGGGGAUAACAGGCUGAUACCGCCCAAGAGUUCAUAUCGACGGCGGUGUUUGGCACCUCGAUGUCGGCUCAUCACAUCCUGGGGCUGAAGUAGGUCCCAAGGGUAUGGCUGUUCGCCAUUUAAAGUGGUACGCGAGCUGGGUUUAGAACGUCGUGAGACAGUUCGGUCCCUAUCUGCCGUGGGCGCUGGAGAACUGAGGGGGGCUGCUCCUAGUACGAGAGGACCGGAGUGGACGCAUCACUGGUGUUCGGGUUGUCAUGCCAAUGGCACUGCCCGGUAGCUAAAUGCGGAAGAGAUAAGUGCUGAAAGCAUCUAAGCACGAAACUUGCCCCGAGAUGAGUUCUCCCUGACCCUUUAAGGGUCCUGAAGGAACGUUGAAGACGACGACGUUGAUAGGCCGGGUGUGUAAGCGCAGCGAUGCGUUGAGCUAACCGGUACUAAUGAACCGUGAGGCUUAACCUU